rnacentral:lncRNA from 1 species
UCGAAUUCUUCAACAAAAUUUUUUGAUAACUAUUCUUUUCUCUUAGAUAAUAGAAAAACCAUUCUUAUUAAUCCUGGUCUUUCACAAGAUAGCUUAAAUGCUGAACAGGAAAUUGUUGCUAUACAAAAGUAAUUUAUAAUGUCCAUAAAUCCAUCAUGAGCAAGUUAUCUAAAUUGACGUUACUUCUGAAAAAUGAAAGAGUGUAUAUUGCUUUUUCAAUGUCCCUUUAUAAUGAUGGAAAGUUUGAGUUUAUAGAAUAAAAUCUUAAUGAAGUAACUAAAUAAUUCAUUAGCUCUCAAUUGGUCUGAAAAAAGUCAACGAAUUUCAGGGUUUAAAGACUUUAAAAGUUCUCGGAGUAAAAACUCCAAGCAAACACAGUGUCCUACUUUUUUACACAAUAUACAGUUUAGGCGGAGGUUGUUGUGGUCUUAAAUGCCUAUAAAAUAUAUUCACCAUGUGCUGUUCGGUGCUGCUCCUUUCAGAUAUAACGUAUCGGCUAUUAUCAUUUGCAGCCAUUUUCAAAAUUAUAUUUUCGGAUUGAAAUAUUUAUAAUCACUGGUAUAUGACAACUAACUUUGUUUUUGACAUAUUUGUCAAUAUCGCAGAAUACUUGAUUCAAUAACACAUAUUUGGCUGGAAGUCGAUGGUAGAUACAUAGGUUUUUUAACCCAAUUAUUAACCGUUUUGUUGCUUUUCUUUUCUAGCUAAUGAAGGGAAACGUGAUGCUUCUCUCGUGCUAAAAGAAAUCACUUCUACACCCAAACGAGCCACUACCUAUAAAAAAGCGUUCAGUGCAAGUAAAUCCAAAGAGAAGGUACAACUAACACCGCAACAAGCGUUAUCAAUGUUCAUCGAAGCAGACUUAUCAAAGAGGUAGUACGAAAUCAUAAGAAGUUAUAGUCCAUCUAUGUAUCCAUGCUACAGUAAGAUCCAAGAAGUCAAAAAAGAGUGUUACCCCGACAAAGAAUCUAUUACUGUCACCGAAACUUUAGCAGAUAUUAAGCUUCAGAAUUUGAUGGAUCACACUGUAUCCAGAUUACUGACAGAUUUUUACGAUUAAAACGCUUGACGAAGAAGAAAGAAAUGCCUUGGAACUCAUAUAUAAAUGGGGAUGCGAUGGAGCGCACAUUCAAACAAAAAUUUGUAUGUGACUCCGACACGGACGCUAACUUGUUCCAAAGCUCACUUGUCCCUUUACGGCUUAUUUGUUCCUUAAAUGGAAAAAUACUAUGGCAGAACCCCACUCCUUCAUCUCCUCGUUAUUGCCGCCCAAUCAGGCUGAGAUUUAUAAAAGAAACCGCAGUUGUGACAAGAGAAGAAAUAUCAUAUAUCGAAGAUGCUUCAAAAAAUUUGAACAAAACGAAUUCCAAAUGAAAUAAAAAAAUUGCUUGCGAGGUAUCGCAUACAAUGAUUUUGACCAUGGUCGAUGGAAAGGUGUGCAACUCUGUGACAAGCACAUCAUCUACAAUGAGGUGCUACAUAUGUGGCUUAACUUCAAAGGAUUUUAACUGUAUCCAAAAAAGGGGACAGUUAAUGUGGAAACUUUUGAGUUUGGUUUAUCUAUUCUUCAUGCCUGAAUACGAUUUUUUGAAGCUGUUUUACAUUUGGCCUAUAAACUACUAGUACAAAAGUGGCAGCUCAGAAGCGAUGAAGAAAAAGAAAAAGUCAAACUCAGGAAACUCGCAAUCCAAAGCGAAUUUAAGUCAAAGAUGGGUCUCAUUGUAGUCCUCGUAGUAUGUCCCAAAGGCAAAUUUCGGCAACACCAGUAGACGAUUUUUUGCAAACCACGAACUGUUUGCAGAAAUUACUGGUAUAGACGCGACAUUUAUCUAUCGCCUGAAAAUUAUUCUGGAAGUUUUGUCGAGUGAGCAUGAGCUGUAUCCUUGGCAUCCGAUGACCCCCACGCUCCACAAAAUACUUAUCCAUGGGCCUCAAGUGAUAAGACAUGCUUUGCUGCCAAUCGGACAACUGUCUGAGGAGGCUGCUGAAGCCAGGAACAAAUAAAUACGCCU